AUUGAACGCUGGCGGCAUGCCUUACACAUGCAAGUCGAACGGCAGCACGGGUGCUUGCACCUGGUGGCGAGUGGCGAACGGGUGAGUAAUACAUCGGAACGUACCUUAUCGUGGGGGAUAACGCAGCGAAAGUUGCGCUAAUACCGCAUACGCCCUGAGGGGGAAAGCGGGGGACCGUAAGGCCUCGCGCGAUUAGAGCGGCCGAUGUCUGAUUAGCUUGUUGGUGAGGUAAAAGCUCACCAAGGCGAUGAUCAGUAGCUGGUCUGAGAGGACGAUCAGCCACGCGGGGACUGAGACACGGCCCAGACUCCUACGGGAGGCAGCAGUGGGGAAUUUUGGACAAUGGGGGCAACCCUGAUCCAGCAAUGCCGCGUGAGUGAAGAAGGCCUUCGGGUUGUAAAGCUCUUUUGUCAGGGAAGAAACAGCAGCUCUAACACAGUCUGCGAAUGACGGUACCUGAAGAAUAAGCACCGGCUAACUACGUGCCAGCAGCCGCGGUAA
rnacentral:rRNA from 1 species